CACAACAUAGAAACAAAAUAUUAAGUUUAUUUUCUAUAAAACUCAGAUUGUUGUAAAAUGUCUCCUUACUUUGAACAUUGACAGAUACCAACUAGAUUUGUUCAGAUGUUUUAUUUUCCCGAUGAUGUAGUAACUUUUCUUUUCUCACUCAUUGUAAUUUCUUUGUGGUUAGGGAUAUAACUGAGUUUUAAAAUACAUGAUAGGAAAGAACACUGUUUUUCUUGACUACUGUGAUUUGAAGCUCCAGAUACUGUGUUAAAGCCAAUUUCUUGACAGGCAUGGUGAUGCAAACCUGUAAUCCCAGCAAUUGAGGGGCAGAGACAAGUGGAGUAAAGACUUCAAAGCAGCCUCAGCUGCAGAGCAAGUUCGAGGCCAGCCUGAUCUAUAUGAGACCUAUUUACAAAAACAAAAGAAAACAAAUAAAGGCCCUCGCUGUGCAGCUCAGGCUGGACUCAAACUAUCCCAGACUGUCACGUGCUCAAGUCAGAAGUGUGCACCAGCCGAGAACACAGGCCUGGCCCAGGUGUUCUGAGCUCCAUCUGGUUUUCUUUUUGACCCGAAACAUAGAACAUAUUGGCUAUACCCAGCCUUCAGAAUUCCACCCCUUUGAGCCAGCCUUCGAAGCAGGGCUCUGGCGGGAGAGGUGAUGGAUGGAGAGUUCUCAAUCGUUUUCCCUACCAGUGGCUGAAACUUAUGGCUCUCACCACUUCCCGGUUGCAGGUGAUGGAUGGGUUUGUUUACCGCUUCCCCCUUUGGUCUGGAGGGAGAUACUGAGUAGGGCGGCUGCCAGCAUUCGAGAAGGUUUGGCUCAGUCCCAGAGUCAAGAUCCCUGCAGCCAGGCUGGGUUGAAGCUGCACAAGCCCUGGGGCUUUUGGAUUUUUAAUCACUUUCUGAGCAGAUGCAUUUCUGUUUGGAUGAACUGGGUACUGCUGUUUGCACUCUGCUCAUUUAAACUAAACUCUUUGCGGAAGUAUGACUGUUCUCUUUUGCACUAAAGAAAUAGAAUGAAAAUUGUAUUGUUCCUUUCAACCUGUUUCCUGAAGGUAUAGUUGCCAGCCUCCCCUCCCUCUCUCUCCCCUCUCCCCCCCUCUCCCUCCUUCCCAUCCUUCCUUCCUCCUUUCUUUUUCUCUUUUUUUAGAGCUAGAGACUGAACCCAGGACAUUUUGUUUACUAGUGAAACCUUCUAGCACCGAGCUAAGUUCCUAAUACCUACAGUUUUGUUUGCUUGUUUGUCUUGACUAAAAUUAGAGACAGCUAAAAUAAUCUCAACUUGCUAAUAACUUCUUUUUCGUUGAGCAGUGGUAAAGUGGACACUAACACAUGCCCCUUGGACACAGGGCGGAAAUACAUGCAGUUUGCUGUGUUUGAGAAAAUAUAAUAUCACACAUGAGUAAUUAUGCUCAACACACUCAUGACAUCCAGGUUUACUCUGCAUCACCUGACAACGUCCAGAGAGGAUUACUCAACUGCAAACACUGACUUCCACACAAGAGGAGUCCUUUUCAAUUGAAUAGUGCUGUCCUAUGAAGGGAAUGGGAAAUUAAGCCAACGUUAAUAGAAGGUUUUUUGUUUGUUUGUUUGUUUUUGUUCUUUUUUUUUUUUUGUAGCUUCUUGCUGCCAUGAAGCAUGGAAACAUGGUAGACACAGAGUAGUAAUUGGCCUGCAUGAUUGGCAUGUUUGACCACCUUCAUCCUUGUUCUCCGUCCAGUAUUGCUUGUUAUUUGUCUUCCUUAAAAACCUGUGGAAGCCAGAUCUGGUAUCUUUCUAUUGUGUUGAAUGAUUCUGGUAAAAAACAGGUUAUAAAUAAAAUUGACAGGUGUCAAGGAGAGUAGGUGGAUCUCGUUUAGAGGGCUACGUGAUUGGGAAAUACUACAUUGGAAACCUGGGGAAGGGAUCAUGGCCACACUGCCAACUCUGGUACAAACCCCAUUGAAGUUGUGGGUUGGCAACCAUUUUGAAGAGCAACUAGCCAGAAAUCAGAAAUCUCCACUGGACUGUGACUCUAGUCUAGGAAGGAGACAAGACAGUUAAGCAGAGGAGGAGAGAGAGAGAGAGAGAGAGAGAGAGAGAGAGAGAGAGAGAGAGAGAGAGAGAGCACAUUUCAUCUCAAAUUUUGGUUAGGAAAAGACAGUUCUUCAAUACAUUAAUCUUUGGUGAAUAAAGCUUCUUCAUGAUAAAAUUACUUGUGCUACAGUAAGAAGCAUCUAGAAAUUUACUGAGCUCUGUAUGAUAGUUGGGCUAUGUCACUUCCCCUGGUAAACCUUGUUCUUCAGGUCAAACUAGUAGGGCACUCAAUUACCAAUUGAUAUCAACACUAACAUCCUAAUAUCCCAGCAAUUGGGCAACCAUGCAGGAAGAUUAAGACAAGGAGGAUAACCUGGGCAACAUAUCCAGCAUACCAAACCAAACGAAAGCAAACCAAACCAAACCAGUCUCAACCAUGUAAUUGAAAACAGCAACCAACCAACCAAGCAACCAAAUAAAGAAACAAAUAAAAGCAUUCCUUUAGCUGCCAUCCUCCUUACAGAGCACAGUCUUAUCCCAUGUUUCUGGGCACUUCCAAGUCCUGUUGUACCUGACUCAGUAACAAGUCUUUAUGGGCUUAGAUUUUUCAAGCUUUUGGUCCCCCUUCUAGCCAACUGUCCAAAGGUAGGGAGAAAAGAUGGUAAAUAGGACAAGGGAAUGUGGAUUCCAAUCUCCAUUGGUCAGGAAACUAGUAAUCCAGUUCAGUGGGGUCGGGAUACUAAAUAUGAAUCAGCACAAUGCAGCAGAAACAGCAUGGUCUCCGCCAAUGCUGCACAAGUCAGAAGCAACCAGGAGCAGCCUGGCCACCAGGAGAAGCUCAAUGAGUGAAGAUCAGCGAAGAUGAAAACGGAGACCAAUGAAGCGGUACAAGGCUAGUUAUGUAAGCACGCUGACACUGUCUGUUGAGUCCAUUUAUAUUCUCUCCAAACAUCACAUGUCCUCUGGUCUUAACAAAACACCCCAUGAGCCUGCAUCACCAGAAACUUCCUUUUCAAAUCCUCUUGGCUAUGGCAGGCCAAAUGGCAUCUCUCUCCCUCGGCUCUUUUCUCCCUUCAUUCCUCAGUGCCUGCUCAGGAGACCCUGAGUUUUCAGUGGGUCUUGUCAGAGUUCUCCAAUUUCUGUCUCAUUCACAGUGAGAAUUAGUGCAUUGGGAGUCUUGUGGUUGCAAAGGACAAAAGCCCAUAUUAAUUUAAGCUUGGCUUGCAGAUGAAGUUCUAGAGCAAGAUUUCAGGGUCCUGGAAGCCCAGGGAUGCUGGGAAGUAACCCUGUCAGGGGUCCUCUCCUUUUCAACCUUUUGGCCUCUGCUUUCCUCUUCUCCUUCAGCUCAAGCUUUUCUAUUCCAACCUGUAUGCUGAUAGUUUCCAUUGCUAGGAGUUUGAGAUCUAGGUACCCCAAACACACUGCCAACUCUUUCAACUGGGAUGACAUGCUCUUCCAGUCCUGGUUUUUUUUCUUCUAUAAUGUUGGUCACAGGAAUUGAACUCAGAUUUUUAGGCUUGAUGGCAGGUACCUUUACUCACUGAGUUAUUUCGCUGGCCCUCGUUUUGUUUUAAUUUGCAGCAAAAAAAAUGGAAGCAAACCUAUUCAUUGGCUUAUGGUUGAGGUGGUGAAUGGAGGGUAGGAUUGAAGUCAGCUCCUGAGGUAGCCUGAGUUCAGCAAUUUUAAAAGUGACCAUAAAGGCAGCUGUGGUGGCACAUUGCUAUAACCCAAGUACUCAUGAGGCUGAAGCCAAAGGUUUAUGAGGUUCAGGUCAGCCUUUGAAAUAUACUGACUCUCCUCUCACACAAAAACAAAAGAAAAAAACUAAAAGAAAACAGACUAACAAAUUCACAUCGUAUCGUGACUCCUGACCCCUUUCCCCUGUGAAGACUUCUUACUUCAUUGGAGAGAAAACUGUCAAUCCACAGUGUUCCCCCCUUCAUACUUUGUUCUUAAGAGAUUCAGUGUGGAGAAGUUCCUGCUCCUUGGGACCUCGGCCUCCACCUGGACUUGUGCUAGUCUUUCUCAACCCCAAAAUAGUUUUAACUUUUUUUUCUUUCCUUCAGGUCAACCACGCUUUAUUUCUUUGUCCCAGAGUGAGCUCUCGUGACUUACUGUAUCCAUUCUUUUUAACUUGAAAAUUGAUGCAACGCAAUAACAAAAUCAAGACAAAGAAAUUAUGAAAAAAUUUCAACCAGAUAUUUGUCAUUCUCCCAUGAAAGAAUUCAAGUGUUGUCUAUUUGCCAUUUCUUGUUUUAUUCUAAAUGUGGUGUUUAAAAAUUAAAAACAGAUAGAGGGUGGGGUGAUGGUUCAUCAGGUAGAGAUAUCUGUUACAAGCCUGAUAAUCUAAAUUUGGUGCCUGGAAGCCACAUGGUGGAAGGAGAGAAUGGGCCCUUGCAAGUUGUCCUUUUGUCUGUGUAAGCCAUGGCAUGUGUAUGCACAUGCAUGCACAUAAUAAACAAAUGUAGAACAUUUAAAAAAGCAUAAAGUAAUGCUAGAUAGGUUUAUCACUCGGGAGUAUGUUUUUACCAUUUUGUCACCACCAUCACCAACAUCAUCAAUCAUCACCAUCAUCAUCACCACCAUUAUCACUACCAUCAUCAUCAUGACCAUAUAACAUCAUCAGCACACCAUCACCACCACUACCAACACCACCAGCACCUAUAGUAACACCAAUUUAAGCUAGUUGGGUAACUAGAUUACAAAUACAUAAAACUCAGACUAAGGUUAUUUUAUUUGGAUUUAACAAUUACUGGGGGGCAAUGGGGGUCACCCCUAAUCUACUCUUCUAACUGCUGGCCUGGCUAUCUCCUAGUGGUAUACCCCAGAUAUUUGCUGUCUCUCCUGUCCAUGUGCCCAUUGUCUGUCUCUCCUCAUGAAGGCUUCCUCUCUUUCCUCGUUCUUCCUCUUUCCCUCUCUUCUCUCUCUUCUCCUGUUCUUCUCCCUCCCCACUGGUCUCUCCUCCAACCAGGUCACUCCAAACCUACCUACCUCUAAUCCCUCCAGUAAAUGGCUGUUGUCAAUUUUAUUUAACCAAUAGUUUUAAAUCAAGGAACAAGGUUUGCGUAACAAAAGCUUGUAAACUGGAGAAUUCACUCUGUAGGCCUGGAUCUUCCCUUUGGGCGCAGAAUUUAGCAUUACAAUACAUAGCAACAGACUCAACCUUAACAACCACCACUGUCAUCACCAUCAUCUUCAUCACUACUUUGGUCAGUGGGACACACUUUAUUGAUCAGGCUGGUCUUGAAUCUAUCUUAGUUUUUUGAGUAGCUGGGAUGAAGGUUUGUGCUAUCAAGCGAGCUAACAACUUUUUUCUUCCUCCUGACGCUAAGAAUCAAAUCCAGGGACAUGCUCAUGCUAGUCAAGUAUGCUAUUGUUAUGGAAAAUCCUCAAGGUUUAUGUUUAAAAAGUUUAUAUUUAUUUUUAUGUGUAUAGAUUAUUUGUUUGAAUGUCUGUGCACUAUGCCUUGUAUCUGAGGAGAUCAGAAGAGAGAAUUAUAUCCCCUGGAACUGGAGUUACAGAUGGUUGUAAGUAGGUUCAGGUGUAGUUCAGAUAGUUCCUGUGUAGGUUUUGGGAACCUAACCUGGGUCCUUUGGAAGAGCAGCCAGUGCUCUUAACUGCUGAGCCAUCUCUUGAAUCAGCUUGGGGAUCACUUUUAAACUUGCCCUUCAAUUUUUUUAUAUAUUCUUACAUUGUCUUGUUCGAAUAUAUUUAAUAUAAAUUUAGUAUUUAAUUAUAUUUUCACCAGAGGACCCAAAGUGCUUUGUUAUUUGAUUUUUACCUUCUGGUCAGAAAUCUUUAAACAAUGGAGUCUGUGUUAGAAAACUCUUCUUUAAUAAUAGAUACAAUAUAGCAGUUUGGAGCUUAGGGGUCCCAUGAUGAUUGAGUUGGGUCAUAAGACUAAAUGAACAAAGUUUGAGAUAGCCCCAAAUGCCAUCUAUCAGUUGGGUAGUUGUAGAACCUGGUGAGAGAGGAAGCGAGGGUGUAUGUGUUUCAUUCGAGACACACAGCCUUAGUGACUUAGACAUACAGUGACCACAAAUCACUGCUUCUCACAGCAGAUCAUGGCAAAUCUAGGAAGCUCUUCUUCCAUGAGCCCAUUCUCCCCAAAGAAACUUAGAUAUUUUCCUUUUUAUGGAUGAUCUGGGUAGGAGUGACAGCAGCUUGCAAAGAGGACAGACUUCCAUCAUUUUCCAGUUAUCUUAGGUUACCUCUCAAUGCUGAUUCCCCAAAGAAUACUCCAGAAUAACUUCCCGAUAGUCCAGUGGUCUACUUCAUGGAUCACUGUGGCUUGACCCAUUCUGAAAUUCUACUUCAGGGGUUCAUAUCUACUUAUAUAAGGAGAAGAUGUGUACAUGAUGACAGAGGUCUAAAAAAAAUACCCUACAAAUGAAAGGCAGGCUUUCCCUAGUCAUCUGUUCUGAAAAAAUGCCAGAAAUCACCCUUGAGUUAUUCCCUGUAGCUUCAUUUUCAACCUCUGCCUGCUGACCUUUGGGUGUGACUUUCAUCCACCCAGUAGAAUGGAAGUGUAUCUACUGAAAUGAGGAAGCUGGAGGGGAGUUGGAGAAAUUUGCUUUUAUCCCUUAACAUCUACUAUCUGGGCUUCCAAUGCCUCAAAAGUGAGGCAACCUAUGCAGAGUGAGCGGACUAAUCCCCAAGCAUAACAUAUUCUAAGUUUUAUUAUACUUAUAUUUGAUCCAUAAAUUUCAAAAAGAAUUUAUAAGAAGCAAAUGUUUUGCGUGGCUCAAUGGUGUAUGAGUUGAAAUCAUCUCUUCAUUCUCUAUAGUCCAUUAAUUUCUUUUAAAAAUUAUGUAUGGGAGCUGGAGAGAUGGCUCAGUGGUUAAGAGCACUGACUGCUCUUCCAGAGGUCCUGAGUUCAAUUUCCAGCAACCACAAGGUAGCUCACAGCCAUGUGUAAUGGGAUCAGAUGCCCUCUUCUGGUGUGUCCGAAGACA